GACUAAUGUUGAAAAAUUAGCGGAUGACUUGUGGCUGGGGGUGAAAGGCCAAUCAAACCGGGAGAUAGCUGGUUCUCCCCGAAAGCUAUUUAGGUAGCGCCUCGUGAAUUCAUCUCCGGGGGUAGAGCACUGUUUCGGCAAGGGGGUCAUCCCGACUUACCAACCCGAUGCAAACUGCGAAUACCGGAGAAUGUUAUCACGGGAGACACACGGCGGGUGCUAACGUCCGUCGUGAAGAGGGAAACAACCCAGACCGCCAGCUAAGGUCCCAAAGUCAUGGUUAAGUGGGAAACGAUGUGGGAAGGCCCAGACAGCCAGGAUGUUGGCUUAGAAGCAGCCAUCAUUUAAAGAAAGCGUAAUAGCUCACUGGUCGAGUCGGCCUGCGCGGAAGAUGUAACGGGGCUAAACCAUGCACCGAAGCUGCGGCAGCGACGCUGAUGCGUUGUUGGGUAGGGGAGCGUUCUGUAAGCCUGUGAAGGUGUGCUGUGAGGCAUGCUGGAGGUAUCAGAAGUGCGAAUGCUGACAUAAGUAACGAUAAAGCGGGUGAAAAGCCCGCUCGCCGGAAGACCAAGGGUUCCUGUCCAACGUUAAUCGGGGCAGGGUGAGUCGACCCCUAAGGCGAGGCCGAAAGGCGUAGUCGAUGGGAAACAGGUUAAUAUUCCUGUACUUGGUGUUACUGCGAAGGGGGGACGGAGAAGGCUAUGUUGGCCGGGCGACGGUUGUCCCGGUUUAAGCGUGUAGGCUGGUUUUCCAGGCAAAUCCGGAAAAUCAAGGCUGAGGCGUGAUGACGAGGCACUACGGUGCUGAAGCAACAAAUGCCCUGCUUCCAGGAAAAGCCUCUAAGCAUCAGGUAACAUCAAAUCGUACCCCAAACCGACACAGGUGGUCAGGUAGAGAAUACCAAGGCGCUUGAGAGAACUCGGGUGAAGGAACUAGGCAAAAUGGUGCCGUAACUUCGGGAGAA
rnacentral:rRNA from 1 species